CGGUACCUCGCGCGGAUGCCCUGGAAGGAAGUCCUCCUCCUCUGGCCCCGCCCACCGAGGCGGACGCGCCCGGGCUGCAGAGUGCUGAGCCCGGCCUUGGGGUCCGCUUCUCCCCAACAGCUGCUCCCUGCCCUCUCUGAGGUCUCGCCGACUGCAGCCCUUUUGUGUCAGAACGAAUUUUCUGCACAGUCAUUCCGCUCGCUGACCAGCAACAUGUUAUCCCUGCGGCCUGCCUGAUGAUUUGAGGAAAAGAAUUGAGAGUCCUACUGAAUCUCCAUACAAGUGACAGUCUCACAAGGCAAGGUAAGGUAAGGAUCCUCUUUGUUCCUCCUUCAUUUAAGCCAAAAAGAAAUUAUGGGUUCAAUGUAGGUCUCUGUAGUUUUGCUCAGGAGACAUCCAACUGAUUUCCAGUCAGAGCCUUAGCACACAUUAGCCAUGCCAUGACACAGCUCUUGGAAACAACUUUCUAUAGGGAUCAGUUG
rnacentral:lncRNA from 1 species